rnacentral:rRNA from 1 species
UACGGGGGGGGCAAGCGUUGUUCGGAAUCACUGGGCGUAAAGCGCACGUAGGCGGAUGUGUCAGUCAGGGGUGAAAUCCCGGAGCUCAACUUCGGAACUGCCUCUGAUACAGCACGUCUUGAGUCCGGAAGAGGUGGGUGGAAUUCCUAGUGUAGAGGUGAAAUUCGUAGAUAUUAGGAAGAACACCGGUGGCGAAGGCGGCCCACUGGUCCGGUACUGACGCUGAGGUGCGAAAGCGUGGGGAGCAAACAGG